UACGUAGGUGACAAGCGUUGUCCGGAUUUACUGGGCGUAAAGGGCGCGUAGGCGGGAUGGCAAGUCAGUCGUGAAAUCUCUCGGCUCAACCGAGAAACGUCGGCUGAUACUGCCGUUCUUGAGGGAUGCAGAGGAGACUGGAAUUCCCGGUGUAGCGGUGAAAUGUGUAGAUAUCGGGAGGAACACCAGUGGCGAAGGCGGCUCUCUGGACCACAACUGACGCUGAGGCUCGAAAGCUAGGGGAGCAAACAGG
rnacentral:rRNA from 1 species